UACGAAGGGGGCUAGCGUUGUUCGGAAUCACUGGGCGUAAAGCGCACGUAGGCGGAUGUGUCAGUCAGGGGUGAAAUCCCGGAGCUCAACUUCGGAACUGCCUCUGAUACAGCACGUCUUGAGUUCGAGAGAGGUGGGUGGAAUUCCUAGUGUAGAGGUGAAAUUCGUAGAUAUUAGGAAGAACACCGGUGGCGAAGGCGGCCCACUGGCUCGAUACUGACGCUGAGGUGCGAAAGCUAGGGGAGCAAACGGG
rnacentral:rRNA from 1 species